AGAAACCUGGGAAGAAAACACAACAGUUCGCGUCAAUAGUAAGAGAGGUGUUGAACAGAAGCAGAGCCCUGGAGCGUGAGGACAGACAUUGACCGCAAUGAAGGACGUGUGCUGAAGGACGGGACUCAUUUUCAAUGAUGCCAACCUUCCUUUUUCGUGUUCAGACUGAAGUACAUUAAAGUGGAUCUGUUUUGUCUUUUGCGAAAGGAAGAAGACAAGCGUCAAGUGAUUUCCAGGGGAUGCUAUGACCUCGUCCAGGACAGCUGAAAGCAGCACAUCAUGCACAAGCUGUGGAAUCGUUUGAAUCUUCUCUGUCGCAGAGCCGUGGGACAUUCUACUGCAGUUCUCUUUGAGACCACAGGAGGAUGCUGCG